rnacentral:rRNA from 1 species
GACGAACGCUGGCGGCGUGCUUAACACAUGCAAGUCGAACGGAAAGGCCCUGCUUUUGUGGGGUGCUCGAGUGGCGAACGGGUGAGUAACACGUGAGUAACCUGCCCUUGACUUUGGGAUAACUUCAGGAAACUGGGGCCAAUACCGGAUAGGAGCUCCUGCUGCAUGGUGGGGGUUGGAAAGUUUCGGCGGUUGGGGAUGGACUCGCGGCUUAUCAGCUUGUUGGUGGGGUAGUGGCUUACCAAGGCUUUGGCGGGUAGCCGGCCUGGGAGGGUGACCGGCCACAUUGGGACUGAGGUACGGCCCAGAGUCCUACGGGAGGCAGCAGUGGGGAAUAUUGCACAAUGGGCGGGAGCCUGAUGCAGCAACGCCGCGUGCGGGAUGACGGCCUUCGGGUUGUAAACCGCUUUCGCCUGUGACGAAGCGUGAGUGACGGUAAUGGAUAAAGAAGCACCGGCUAACUACGUG